rnacentral:misc_RNA from 1 species
UUUCCGUAGGUGAACCUGCGGAAGGAUCAUUAAUAAUAAGUGUUUUAUGGCACUUUUUUCGAUCCAUAUCCACCUUGUGUGCAAUGUCAGGGUUGAUUUUUCUCUCGAGAGGAUCAACCCCAAACAUCAACUAUAUCUCAACUCUUUGUCUGAAAAAUAUUAUGAAUAAAACAAUUCAAAAUACAACUUUCAACAACGGAUCUCUUGGCUCUC